rnacentral:rRNA from 1 species
AUUGAACGCUGGCGGCAUGCCUUACACAUGCAAGUCGAACGGCAGCACGGGGGCAACCCUGGUGGCGAGUGGCGAACGGGUGAGUAAUGCAUCGGAACGUGCCCAGUAGUGGGGGACAACCAGUCGAAAGAUUGGCUAAUACCGCAUACGACCUAUGGGUGAAAGCGGGGGACCGUAAGGCCUCGCGCUAUUGGAGCGGCCGAUGUCUGAUUAGCUAGUUGGUGAGGUAAAAGCUCACCAAGGCGACGAUCAGUAGCUGGUCUGAGAGGAAGACCAGCCACACUGGGACUGAGACACGGCCCAGACUCCUACGGGAGGCAGCAGUGGUGAAUUUUGGACAAUGGGCGCAAGCCUGAUCCAGCCAUGCCGCGUGCGGGAAGAAGGCCUUCGGGUUGUAAACCGCUUUUGGCAGGAACGAAACGGCGACCUCUAAUACGGGUCGUUAAUGACGAUACCUGCAGAAUAAGCACCGGCUAACUCCGUGCCAGCCGCCGCGGUAAGAC